rnacentral:rRNA from 1 species
UACGUAGGGUGCGAGCGUUGUCCGGAAUUACUGGGCGUAAAGGGCUCGUAGGCGGCCAACUAAGUCAGACGUGAAAUCCCUCGGCUUAACCGGGGAACUGCGUCUGAUACUGGAUGGCUCGAGUUUGGGAGAGGGAUGCGGAAUUCCAGGUGUAGCGGUGAAAUGCGUAGAUAUCGUAAGGAAGGCCAGUGGCGAAGGCGAGUUCCUGGACAGUUACUGACGCUGAGGCACGAAGGCCAGGGGAGCAAACGGG